UCCUUCGUGGUGUAGUGGUUAGCACGCUCGGCGCGUAUUCGAGAGGUCCGUGGUUCGAGUCCCGGCAAAGGCA
rnacentral:tRNA from 1 species